UGGGGAAUAUUGGGCAAUGGGCGAAAGCCUGACCCAGCAACGCCGCGUGAAGGAAGAAGGCUUUCGGGUUGUAAACUUCUUUUAUUCGGGACGAAAAAAAUGACGGUACCGAAUGAAUAAGCCACGGCUAACUACGUGCCAGCAGCCGCGGUAAUACGUAGGUGGCAAGCGUUAUCCGGAUUUACUGGGUGUAAAGGGCGUGUAGGCGGGACUGCAAGUCAGAUGUGAAAUCCAAGGGCUCAACCCUUGGCCUGCAUUUGAAACUGUGGUUCUUGAGUGAUGGAGAGGCAGGCGGAAUUCCGAGUGUAGCGGUGAAAUGCGUAGAUAUUCGGAGGAACACCAGUGGCGAAGGCGGCCUGCUGGACAUUAACUGACGCUGAGGCGCGAAAGCGUGGGGAGCAAACAGG
rnacentral:rRNA from 2 species